GUGUAAUACGAAAGAUACGCAACGCUCGUGAUAUUUGGCUUUUUGUUGUUGGAUGUAUCGUCGUAAGGAUUUGAGGAAGGAGAAGAGUUAAAAAUAUUGUCUGAGAAGCAAAGCUACUUAUUGUUGUUGUAGACAGAUAAGUUUACACAAUCCUGUUAUUUCGUGCUGAUAGCUUUCUUUAACUUAAUAAUAAUACAAAAUAGUUAAAGUCUUCUGUUCGUAAAUCUUUCUUGUUACAGUGAACGUAACAACAGAGUUGUAUUGAAAUCAAAUGAAGUGCUUUCACUUAUUUGGCAUACGUCGUACAAUAAAAAAUACCUGUAUAAAAAACUAGUGUGCACAAUUUGACAUAUUAUGGACAAUCAUGAUGAUGGUGUAUAAAGGUUUCCUUUAUGCUGACAGUUUUAUAAAUGCCGUCUGGUGUUUCUGUAAAUGAAUUAUUUAUUGUUGUAGUAGAUAGGUCAAUACAUCAAAACGAAGAUAACAACAACUUUGCUCAAUACUGUGGUGAUCUAAAAUUUGCAUAGGAUGCAUUGGUUACAACGAAGUUGAAUUUAGAACAAGGAAAUACAGAGGGCAAAAAACCUAUGAAGAAUUAGUAGAAAUUAUUUAAAAGAAUAAGAACAAGCAACCUAGUAAAAGAAGCAAUGUCUGUGUUUGACAUAAGACUUUUCCCAUUAUAUUUAGUUUCUUUGUACAAAAUACUGUUUUUAGAUAAACUAGAUUUGGAAGUCUUUCACUGAUAUUUUUAGCAGGAGACAAAAGGAAAAAUUCAAUGGAAUGAUGUAAAAUUCAAAGAUUUGUCAACCUAGAGGAAACUAGUGUGGGUAACUGUAAUUUGCAAGGGCACAAGAGAAGAGUAGUGCUAGAAAGUUAGCAUUUUUGAGAAUUAAUAUCGUCUUCUUAACCAUAAUAUUAUAAGUAAUGACUUUUACAAUAACAAUUAUAUAAGUUGCUAAAUA